UCGCUCCUACCGAUUGAGUGAUCCGGUGAAUUAUUCGGACCGUGCCUGCAUCAGUUUAUGCUGCUGGUAUGGAAAGUUUUGUAAACCUUAUCACUUAGAGGAAGGAG
rnacentral:rRNA from 1 species